AUUCUUUGUCCACGAAGGAAAGGAGAAAAGCUCAACCAUUGAGCGUGUGCUCAGAUUGUUUGAGUACAACAAUCGCUUGAAUCAAGUGGGAGUUAAUCUUCCAGAUAAGAUAGUGAUGGUUCUCCAAAGUCACUGCCACCAAGCUGUGAGAGCUUCGUGAUGAACUAUAAUAUAUCAAGGAUAGAUACAAUGAUCCUUGAGCGAUUCGCGAUGUUUGACACUGCGAAAGUAGAAUCAAGAAGGAGCAUCAAUAG
rnacentral:lncRNA from 1 species